UACGGGGGGGGCAAGCGUUGCUCGGAAUCACUGGGCGUAAAGCGCACGUAGGCGGACUCUUAAGUCGGUGGUGAAAUCCUGGAGCUCAACUCCAGAACUGCCUUCGAUACUGGGAGUCUCGAGUUCGGGAGAGGUGAGUGGAACUGCGAGUGUAGAGGUGAAAUUCGUAGAUAUUCGCAAGAACACCAGUGGCGAAGGCGGCUCACUGGCCCGAUACUGACGCUGAGGUGCGAAAGCGUGGGGAGCAAACAGG
rnacentral:rRNA from 1 species